CUACAAUGGUAAAAAGUCCCUUAUCUAUAAACUUACGUCACACACUAGUCAUUCUCAGUGACUCUCACUCCUAUAUAUACUCUCUUUCUCAAUUAGGGUUAUACAACUCCAAGUCCAACCCUUUCAGCAGUGUCGCUGCUCCUCUUCUCUUUGAGCAAAUACGAUCUUAAACCCUUUCAACACUCAGCAGCUGCGCUGCACCUUUCCCUUUUUGAACAAAUACUUAUGUACUUUCCACAACCCAGCUUUGUCAAUCCCUCAACUUCCAAGUAACCAAAAGCGGCUUUGCAAUUUCACUUAAUCUGAUUCAAUCAGAUCUACACGAACUCCUUCCCUAUGCUUGGAACGAUGAGUCAGACAACAAGUAGAUUCAGUAUUAGUGCAUCUAUUGAAGAUCUGAUGAUUCAAAGAAUGUUGAUGGGGGCUUCUAUAUCUUUACCAUCCCCUAGAUGGUUUAAUAAAAUCAUCAACAAUAAUUUUAUAAUUUCUUCAAGUGUAAUUUCCUUGAUUAAAUAUGGAAGAAGGUAUUUGUAUUAACGGUGACAUUAAUUUAUUUAUGCGAGUUAAGACGUUCUAUAGUUUGAUUAGAGCGUGAAUCUUCACCAAUAUUGCUAGAGAUUUCAUAGCUUCCGUUCUUCAACAUCUUCGUUUGUUCUUUAAGAUCUAAUAUUGUAUCUGCAAUUUUAUGUAAUGUUGUUAUCUUAUUAAAUAAAUGAUUGUGGUUUUCUUGAUUAAUUAAGUUAGUACUUUUUUAAUACACUUUUGUUUUGCGUAUUUACUUAAGAUAUUCGUUUUAUAGAAAGUCUUCACUUAUUAUGGUUACACCCAUGGUUGUUAAAAGCGCGAUCUAGAUCUUGCGAUCUAUAUAUUGAAAUCGUAAGAUCGCACGGUUUAUUCUCUCUCCACCGUGUCGUAACGGUACAAUAAUCAUUGUCAAGGAUGGAGCGGUGUGCGUGUAGAAGAAGAAUGUUAAAUUGUGGAAGCGACGUUUUCUCUCGUGCUUGUUUCACACCUUUUAGCCCCGGUUGUGAACAUCUUGAUCCGGUUGAACCAAUUUUAACCCAGAAUAACUUGAACCUUGCCGGAUUCAAACAUUUUUUAAUCAAAAGUUGAUCUGUUUUUUAAUCUCAUAGAGAUACACUGAAGUUACCAUUUUUUAUAUUAAUAAAGGGGUCAAUUACUUUUAAUUGAAAAUUUACAUCCACACUUAUGAACUUCCCAAAAAUAUGAUUUUUUCAAGUGUGAACUUGGGACUCUAUGAUUUUUUUAUAUGAUAAAGUGGGAAUCAAUAAAAAAUUUAAAAAUUUAUCUACUAAAAAAGUUUUCUAUACUUUGUUUGAGUCAAAGUCAAACUCUCAUCGAUUAAAUCAAGGAAAAAUUUAUGAUUUUUUUUUUGGAUAAUUUAUGUUAAGUUUUUUUUUUUUUUUUUAAUUUCAAAUGUGAACAUUUUAUCAUAAUAUCCAAAUAGUCAUCGGUGUCAUAUUUACUUUACAAACCAUAUAUAUAUAUAUAUAUUGUCAUCGCGAUUUUCGGGUGUCAAGUCAUUAAUUUGGCUUGAACCUUUCAAUCUUUGAUAUUCUCUAUUUUUUCUUGGGAAGGGCAAAAUUGAGAAAAAACCCUUAAUUUUCCGAAUUCGGGGGUCGUUUUCGCUACGGGAAGGUGUUAGGCACCCGGAGCGAUUAUGGUAUUCCAUAAGAACCGUUCUCCUAAGCUUAUUUCUACGCUUUACUUUUAGAGACUAUUUGUAAAAAAGAAGGUGUGAUUAGUGAAGAAUGGGGGUGAGAAGAAGUAGAAUUUGAUUUUAUUUCGGCUUGGAGGGGUUAAAGUCCCUUGCCUACGUACCGUUUUACGGGAUCAAAACCGGCGUAGUUCUUGCUAAAAAGACUUGUUGUUUUUUUUUGUUUUAAUUGUUUGAUUUUAAAUUUUGAAAAUGAUUUUGAAGAAGGGGAUUGAGAGGCUUCAUGAGCAUUAGAGUAUGAAAAAGUGGGGGUUUGUUUAGUGAUUUUGCAAAAAGUCUAAAUGAUUAGAUUUAUUUGAGAAUUUUAUUAAGAAAAUAAAAGGUGAAAAAUUGUUGGAGUUUUGACUCCAUUUUUAUGAAAAAUAUUUGAAGCUAAUUUGUUUGCAUAUUUUUUGGAAAAAAUUGGAUUUUCUCUAAGUGUUUAAACCUAAGCAUUCAUCUAACCAUGCAAUCCUAGCCAUACAUCUACACAUGCAAUCCUAGGCAUACAUCUAGGGUGAGUGUGUGCGUGCCGGUGUGCCAUAGUGUCCAUAGUCCAUAUUACAAAAAUUGCCUAAAUACAUUCUAUGGCCUCUUUGCCAAGCUACAAACCAAUGAUAACAAAUUACAUCACCGAAUGAAUUAAAAUUUGCAAAAAUAAAUGCUAAGCUAAAGAAAGUGGAGGAGAUAGUGAAAUGCUAUGAGUGAAGUCACAUAAGGAACAAAAUGUUAGUGAAACAAGGAAAAAUAUAAUGGGAAUGAUGAAAAAUGCACCAAAUGAAUAUGCAAUAAAAAGGGGUAAAAACAUGAGAACUUAUCAAGCACAAUGUGUAACAAAUGGCCUAUAAUGCAAGAACAAGUAUAAACCAAAUGAAAACAGUGGCACAAUCAUUGGAUUAUCAUCACAUCUAUCAUGAAAAUGCAUUCUAAUUAGCCAUGCUAUGCACCAAAAUUCUUAGGACAAGAAUCAACCUAAAAAUCAUGAAAAAGCUAACUAGAGAAGUAAAUUGAACAAGAGGCCUAUGCACAUAUUUUUACCAGUUAUUUGCAAGCAAAAUAUCAUUAAAAGUCAUCAAGAGAGUGGUAAAAACAUGUAGUAAUUUUUGGAAUUUUUUUGUAAAAAAGGUGACCAAGAAACAGGUUCAGAUAGCAAAAAGAAUGGUGCAGAUAGCAAGAAAAGGAGCAGAAACGCGCAAGAAGCCUAAGCCCAACCCAAAGCCCAACACACAAAACUCAGAUUGCACAGGAGACGUUGGAUUGAUCCAGGGUAGGAAACCCUAGAUCCAACGGCCAGGAAUGAAGGAGGUUGGACCGGUCCUGAACCGGUCCGGUUCACUGGCUUUAUAAAGGGGGGAAUCCGGUUUUUUUUUAUUUUCUUCCUCUCCUUCUCUCUCUUCUCUCACUUCUCUCUUCCCUCUCUCUCGCCGGAAACUGGAAAACUGAAGAUGAUCUUCAUCUUCUCCGGUGGAGCUUGUUCCUCCGGCGUGGUGGCCGGCCACCCAAAGGUGGCGGCGCCGCCGCCGGAGUUGAGCAAACUCCUCCGAUUUUGAAAAUUUUUACAUUUUUAGAUAUCCUUUUUCAUGCUAUUCACGAAUCCAAACUUGGUUUUUUGAGAAAAAGUCCCAAUCGGAGUAGAUCUAACUUCAAAGAUUCGGAAAUUUUUGAAUUCAAAAAAAGGAGGAAAGAGGAAAAGAAGAGUUAUUACCUGUUUGUGAUGUGUUGUGGAGCAAGGGAGAGAGCUUCGCUUUCUUCCAGAUCCGGAAUAUUCCUUCCUUCUUUCCCUUCUCCUUCACGUGAUUCUUUGACCGAAUUUGCUUGUUGUUUGGUGAUGUUCUUGGUGAUUUGAUUCGGAUUUUGUUGAUUUUUGUGGUUCUUGGUGCGGAUUUGUUGCUGGAUUCGGUUUUGUUGCUUUCGGUUUCGUUGCUUUUUUCUUCUUCUCCUCUCUCUGUGAUCGUGCUUGGAUUCGCCGCUUCCGGUGGCGGAUUCGCACUUGAAUUGUGGAGCAGAGACGAUUCGAUGAUGAAGAUUCGCAAAGAAUCUCUGAGAAUCACACAAAAGGAUGAUGAAUUUGAUGAAUUUGUGAUGAUUUUCAGUUAGGGUUUAUGUGAAUGUUCUUGAUGAUUUUCUAUGAUUUUUCUGUUUUGAUUUGCAACUGAAUGGAGAGAGAAAAAAAAAUCUGUUUGUGAUGUGGCGUGUGAUUAAUGGAUCUCUUGAUUAUGUGGCACUGUGAACAGUAUUUAUAGCUGAUGUGUGAGUGAUUGGACCAUUAGAAAGCUGACAUGUGGCAUUGGACUGAAAAAGGGGCGCUGCCCUGUAAUUUGACUUGAAGGACCUGUUUGCAAAUUUGAAAAAUAUAUGGACUGGACUGAAAAAUGAAAGUAAGGACUGAAAUGAAAUUAAAAACUGUUUGGACAAAAAAUGCAAUUUUGGGACCUCAAUUGAGGGACCAAAAUGCAAUUAAAAAUAAAAUUGAAUAAAAAACGUAAUUUGACCAAACGUAAAGCGAAACAAAAAAUAAAAUUGACAAAACGGACUAAAACGAACCAAUAGCUUAAAUGAGGUACUUCAAAGUAACCUCUCUAUGCCGAAAUUUUGUGUGAAAUGACCAAAAUGCCCCUAGGGCUAAAAAUGACUUAAACAGAUUCAAAUUGACUUGACACUGACUCAGAUGCAAGUUUGAAAUGAAUUUAACAAGGUUUACUGAUGAAAUGUUAAAAAUCAAUCUGAAAAGACUCAGAGACAGUCACAAGGAUGAAAAUGGGUCCCACUGCAGGAAAUGAGCAAAAUACCCUUCUGUACGACUUUUUGCAAAUUUUGAAAUAAACUGUAGAAAAAGCAAUGUAAUGAUUCAGAGACACUUUUGAAUGACUUACAAGACAAGUAAAGACAUUUCGAAAGGUUUUAUGCAAGAAAAACAUAGGUAAAAUUGUGAUUGAAAAUACUGCGAGGCAGAGACAAUUUGAACUGUGCAGUUGAAAUUUGAUAAUUGACAAAGUUUGAAAUGAAAUUGGGCCCAGUAUUUUUAGGUCCAAAAACAGGGUAUAACAGCUGCCCCUAUUUAAGUUUCUUUGUCUGGAGAGUCAAGAGACGGAGUCUUUGGCUUGACAGGACGAAGAUACUUAAAUAUUAGCAUUUGCACUGUGUUUGGACGUAAAAAUACGCCUACCCAUUUUCAAAUAAUAUGCAUGCCAUGCAUCAUUUGGAUUAUGAAUGCAAGACCUCAUGGGGAUUGGAAUUAACAAAAUAUGUCGUAUCCAUUGCGGGAUUGGUAGACAUUGACAAAGAUAGUGAAUAGCAGAGUAACGGGAAACUAGAAACAAGUUGGACAGGUACAAGCUGUUCUUGGAUUCAAACUAGCCACUUGACCGGGAAUGAAACAAACAGACAACUGCGAGUUGUUCUUAUGGAUUCGAACUGGUCACUUCACAGGGGAUAGAGGUCACUGGACAAACAUGAGUUGUUCUUAUGGAUUCGAACUGGUAACUCACUUGGGGAUAUUGGAAAGUGCGAGUUGUUCUUAUGGAUUCGAACUGGUGACCCGACUGGGAAAAAGAGAAAAUUGGCAAGUACGAGUUGUUCUUACGGAUUCGAACUGGUGACUCGACUGGAAAAAGAGAAAAUUGACAAGUACGAGUUGUUCUUAUGGAUUCGAACUGGUGACUCGACUGAAAACAUGUAAAAUUGGCAGGUACGAGUUGUUCUUAAGGAUUCGAACUGGUUACUCGACUGAAAGCAAGGCAAAUAGACAGGUGCGAGCUUGUUCUUGGAUUCGAACUGGUAAUUCGACCGGGGUCAUGGAAAAGUAGAUAGGUACGAGUUGUUCUUGGAUUCGAACUGGUCACUCGACCGAAAGCAAAGGCAAAUAAGCAGGUGUGAGCUUGUUCUUGGAUGCGAACUGGUUACUCCACCGGACAGAAACAGAUAGACAGGUACAAGCUGCUCUUGGAUUGAGCUAGCCACUUGACCAAACGGAAACAUAUUGACAGGUACAAGCUGCUCUUGGAUUGAGCUGGGCACUCGACCGAUAACAUAAGCAAAUUGAUAGGUACAAGCUGUCCUUGGACUUGAACUAGCCACUUGACCAAACAGAAACAUAUUCACUGGGGAUUGGUUUUUUUUUUGACAAAAUAUAGAUUGAGAUUGACUUGACGUCGAUUUGAAUUGAAAGGCAGAAAUUGACCGAUAUUAUUGGCUCACAAGGUUUUGACAGAGAACCUGACAUGAGUAUUGAAUUGAGACUGAUGUUGACAUUGGAAAUGCAAUAUGCACGGAUGAUAUAACAGUUUCAUUAAAUGCAUGGGCACGUAAUAUGCAUGAUUAUGCAUGUAUGAAUGCUUGUAAUGCAUGACUGUUGGCAUUUUGUAGGUACGACUUCACGGGGAAGACAAGACAUCAGAGUAUUGGGCACGUAGUGGCUCGUGCUAUAUUACACAUUCUUGGAAAUCCUCUUUGGAGAUGACGUCGUUGGGAGACGUAUCGGAACCACGGCUGAGGGCAGGUAGCUAUGCAACUUGCUGGGGAUAGAAUCUCGGAAGACUCUACUGGGAAUAAUGCCGGAUGUACCGUGGGCGUCGCAUCUGUGGUCAAUGCUUUUUGCAUGUUAUUUUCUCAAUUUUCAUUCAUCAUUUUUUUGCAUCCCAUUUUUGCCUGGAUCGCCCUUUCGGGUUUUCGACCCACCGGGGAAAUAAAUUCUUUUCAAUGCCCCAUUUUUGCCUGAACUGCCCUUUCGGGUUGCCAAUCCAGCGGGGUGCUCAUUUUUGCCUAAGCCGCCCUUUCGGGUUUUCAACUUAGCGAGCCUAUUCAUUUUCAUGCAUUUUCAUUCUGUUUUUUUCAUUCUUGCCAUUGACCACAGACUAUCCUGGAGGAGAACCUGCUUGUAACAUAUCUUGAAAUAGACACCAACACACACUCGCUCAUGCAUGUUCAUUUGAAUGUACCCUGUUGCUCAGGUUUGCUUUUCAAAAAAAACUUUUUCAAUUUUCAAAAUGUUUGUUUCGAGCAUUAUCAUUAUCAAAAUAGAAAGAAAAUGUUUUGUAUAUAGCUUUGAAAGUAGAAGAAAAAUAGAGUUUCAAACAAAAGCACAGGCUCAAAUUGACGUAUAAGAGUGGUGGUCAGCCGAAGGCGUGACUCCACGGAUUUACAAAGCUUGGAAAAUGGUAAUUUUAUUGGUUGGUGGUACAUUGAACACAGUAAUCAUGACAUCUCCUAGAAACUUUGAAUUCGCAAGCGUAGGAGCUUUUGAUGAAGAUAGUCAUUAACAGCUGCAGAUGCCCCAAGGGGGACGGUGGUUAGCCAGAUAUAGUUACUUGCCUUUUGUUUCAAUCUCAUUUUUGCAUGAACCGCCCUUCCGGGUUUUCGAUUCAUCGAGACGCUCAUUCUUGCCUGAGUUGCGUACAAUCUCAGCGAGCUUUUUCAUAUAUAUUUUUUUGUCCCUUAUUUUUGCCUGGACCGCCCUUUCGAGUUUUCGAUCCACCGGGAAGCGCAUUUUUGCCUAGGCCGCCCUUUCGGGUUUUCGACCUACCACGCUGUUCUUUUCACAUUUCUAGGCAAAGUAUUUCUUGACUAUAUCGGCAUUCACUGGAUUUGGAAGUUCUACACCAUCCAUGUGUGUAAGGAUUAAAGCACCACCGGAGAAGGCUUUCUUGACAACAUAAGGACCUUCAUAGUUAGGCGUCCACUUGCCCCUUGGGUCGGGUUGCUGGCUUACCCUCCUUUUCAAUACAAGUUCUCCUACCUUGAAUUCUCGAGGAUGGACUUUCUUGUCAAAGGCAGUCUUCAUUCUUGCUUGAUAUGACUGUCCACGAGCCAUGGCAUCCAUACGUUUUUCCUCAAUCAAAUUCAACUGAUCAUACCGGCUUUGGCACCAUUCAGCCUCAGAUAACUUUGCUUCCAUGAUCACACGGAAAGAUGGGAUCUCCACUUCCAAAGGAAGAACUGCUUCCAUACCAUAUACAAGAGAGAAAGGGGUUGCCCCGGUUGAACUGCGCACGGUAGUACGGUAGCCAUGCAGAGCAUAGGGCAACAUCUCAUGCCAGUCCUUGUAAGUGGUUACCAUCUUCUGGACAAUUCUCUUGAUAUUCUUGUUGGCGGCCUCAACUGCACCAUUCAUCUGAGGUCUAUAAGGAGAAGAAUUAUGAUGCUCAAUUUUGAAUUCUUCACAAAGAGCUUGCACCACAUUGUUAUUCAGGUUGGUACCAUUGUCGGUAAUAAUCUUGCUGGGAACACCAUAUCGACAGAUGAUGUUGUUCUUGAUGAACUUAGCUACCACUUGCUUGGUCACAUUGGUAUAAGAUGCUGCUUCAACCCACUUGGUGAAGUAGUCAAUUGCCACUAAGAUGAAACGAUGACCAUUUGAAGCCUUCGGUUCAAUUCUUCCAAUCAUGUCGAUGUCCCACAUUGAGAACGGCCAUGGGGAUGAAAUAACAUUGAGAGCAUGCGGAGGCACAUGAAUCUUAUCAGCAUAGAUUUGACAUUUAUGGCACUUUCUGGCGUGUUGGUAGCAAUCAUGCUCCAUGGCCAUCCAGUAGUAACCUGCUCGUAACAACUUCCUUGACAUAGUAUGCCCUGUAGCAUGGGUCCCGAAGGUACCGUCAUGUACAUCAUGCAUUAACUGCUCUGCUUCAUGUUCAUCAACACAUCUUAACAAUACCAUGUCAUAGUUUCUCUUGUACAGAAUAUCUCCAUCUAACAGGAAUCUACUGGCCAAUCUUCUCAGGGUCUUCUUGUCUUUGUUGGAAGCUCCCGGUGGAUACUUACAGCUUAGCAAGAACUGCUUGAUGUCAUAAUACCAGGGUUUACUGUCAACCAUAUUUUCACCGGUCUGAUCGAUCACAUCCCCAAUAGCAAACACAUGCGAAGGUCUUUCAAGGCGUUGCACUUUGAUCAUUGGCACAUCAUUCCAAUGGUUUACUCGAAACAUGGAAGAUAGAGUAGCAAGAGCAUCAGCCAUUUGGUUCUCAUCACGAGGAAUAUGGUGCAGCUCAACCUUUGUAAAAUAUGUCAGCAAACGUCUCGCAUAAUCACGAUAAGGAAUCAACUUAGCAUGGUGGGUCUCCCAUUCACCCUUUAUCUGAUUGAUGACGAGCGCGGAAUCUCCAUAGAUGUCGAGGUGUUUGAUUCUCAUGUCAAUUGCUUCCUCGAUCCCGAAGAUACAUGCUUCAUACUCAGCCAUAUUGUUUGUACAUUCGAACAGAAUUCGGGCGGUAAAAGGGAUGUGAUGCCCUUGUGGGGAUACAAUGACUGCCCCAAUUCCUUUACCAUAAGCAUUGACAGCACCAUCAAAGACUAAACCCCACUUGCUAUUGGGAUCUGGACCUUCAUCAAUCAACGGUUCUUCGCAGUCUUUGGAUUUCAAAUACAUGAUCUCUUCAUCGGGGAAAACGAACUCAAUUGGUUGAUAAUCAUCUAGAGGUUGGUAAGCAAGAUGAUCGGCAAGAAUGCUACCUUUGAUUGCCUUUUGAGUUUUGAACACAAUAUCAUAUUCAGACAAAAGCAUCUGCCAGCGUGCAAUCUUCCCAGUAACAGCAGCUUUCUCAAAGAUAUACUUUAUCGGAUCCAUUCUGGAUAUCAACCAAGUUGUAUGAUUCACCAAAUAAUGACGCAGGCGUUUAGCGGCCCAAGCCAAAGCACAACAAGUCUUCUCAAGCAUUGUAUACCGAGUUUCACAAUCGGUGAACUUCUUGCUUAGAUAGUAGAUAGCAUGUUCUUUCUUUCCAGUCUCAUCUUGUUGACCAAGCACGCAUCCCACAGAUUCAUCAAACACUGACAAAUACAAAAUCAAAGGCCUUCCUUCCACGGGAGGGACAAGGAUAGGUGGUUCCAGCAGGUAAUUCUUGAUGCUAUCAAAAGCUUCCUGGCAUUCAUCGUUCCAUAUAAUAGGCUGAUUCUUGCUCAAGCAGUCGAGUGAUCUCAUAUGGUAUAUCAUCAUCCUCUUCAUCUUCGGCUUCAUACACAGGGAAUUCAAAAUUUGGAGGAACCGUAGGAUUACUGUGUUCAACGGGUUUAUUAUGGUUCAAACUGCAUAGAAUGGUUGAAUGAUUUUAGAAAAUGGUUUUUUUUUUUUCUAUGCAGUUCUUUGAAAUUGAUAAGAAAAAUAAAGAUGUUUUGGUUUUUUCUGGUAUUACCAUUAUUUCCAAGAAAAAAAGAAAAAAAAUCACUAAAAAAUAAAAGUCGUGAAAGAAACGACGAUUUUUGUUAAUAACGGCGAUGCCGAAACAAACACGCCCUUCCAGAAAUAUCACUUUCGCUUCGGGCAGAGCGAGAGGAUGGUUAUUUUGAAAAACAAAACACUUAAGCAACAAGACACAUUAUUCGGAAACAUGCAUGAUUGAAUGAAUGUUGAUGGCAUCACAAUUUCUCGCAAUGCCUCCUGGUAUAACAAACAUAGGUCUAGGACUACAUCCAGUCGCCUCUUCAGUAAUUGCAUUGAUAAACUCAGCACUGUAGAAGAUUCAUGUGGCAUUGUACUUGUAAGGAAUAGCCUUUGUAGAAGUAUAAGGUACUGGUCCGGGCAGCCUUAUCACUAGAGGCUCAACAUUCUCUUUUGAAGGCACGCUCUUGACGGGCGGAUCAUGAAAGACUGGCACAAUCACACAGACGUCGCUGACAGUCAAAUGAUUGUUGUUCAUCAAGCUCUGGAUGUCAUUUUGAACAACGCAGCAACCCAAAGGAUUACAGAAUCAUUCUUGGCAAUUGGCAUGAUCAUGGUCAAACAGAGAGGCUUGGCAUAACUUGAUGUGUAGUGGCACCAGAGGAGUUGUAACAUUACGGACGUCAAGUCCGGGAGCUUCCUCAUAUACCUCAAUCAUGUUCACAGCAGCGUGAUUUGGAAGAGGGUUGUCGAGGACAUGAGGGACGUUGUUCUCAAAAGUCAACUUUCCUUGGUUAAUGAGCUUCUUCACAAUGUAUUUCAAAGCAUAGCAUCCUUCGACAUCAUGACCCAGAGCACCUUGAUGGAAAUCACAUUUGAGGUCAGACCGGAACCUAGGAGGUAACGGAUCAGGUGGAGGCUUCCCCUGUCUGAUUGUGCAGUGCCCUCUGAGAAGUAGAGUCGGGAGCAACUCAGCAUAUAGCAUUGGUAUCAGAGGAAAGGUAGGUCUAGCCUGUUGCUGCUGUCGUUGUUGGUGAACCGGUGGAUGAUUGUUCCUGGGCGGCUAGCAGAGCAGUCAUGGUAUCAUUGGCCUUAGCUAAUUCUUCCCUCAGAGAAGCUAAUUCGGUACGGAGCUGAGCAUUUUCCUCUUCCAUGGCUGCCGAAUUCUUCUUUCUGUAGAGUCUAGUCCGGUGUAUUCUGUCUGAUUCGUAAACUUUCCGAGCACGAGCCACCUUUCAAUCUGUGGCAGAAGAACCAGGAGGCAGUGAGCACUUGGAAACCUCUUGUGGCUUGAUGAAUGAUGCACAUGAUGCAUGAUAUGUACAAAUGCAAAUGCAAAAGUUGUUUUUGGACAUCGAAGGAUUUUUAGACAAAUUAGGAGUUUUGUAAACAAUAUCUAAACAAGCAAAUUCAUACCUGUAAUGUUUACAAAGUUUUUAAUUUGUCCAAUCCUUCGAUGAAUGCAUGAGAAAAAAUUUAUGCAUGAAUGCAUGUAUGCAUGAUUGUUUUUUUCAAUUACAGAGAAAACAUGGAGGGUUAAGAUUAAAGUCGAGGAGCCACGGGCGGACACGGUGCCCAGUAAACUAGGGCUUAGGAUAAUAGUAACCAAGGUUCUAAUCAAGUUCCCAAACUGCAACCUCUCUUACGUACAUCAUGGUAGCACGGGACAACAUCCGUUCCAUGUUUAUUCGCAAGAAGGUUUAGUUUGAGUGUAGUAUCGCGUGACGACUAAAACUCGAGACAACACUCGGUUUAGCCACCGCACUACGUCCUAAAAAAGGCCAAGGAUGGGCUUGGUAACUACAGUCCAUAGCGUCGUCGAACAAUUGAAAGCAAAGUGCCUAAGCAUGACAACACACGCCGACAAUAUUACUUUCAAAAUGCCUCCGCUAUAUGAGAUUGAUCGCAUAACCCAAUACACGAGGCAACCCUCGGAUUGAAUUGUCGAUUAUAUCUCUACCUAUUCAUAAGUUCACUCAGCCCGGGUAUAGGACUUUUGAUAUUCUCACCCCACACGUCAAAUGAAAAUAAACAAGUAUUCACAUAUGUAAGCAAUAAAACAAAGCGCAAAUAUAAACUAAGGAAAACUAGGCGUGACCCGCUAAAAGAAUCCCCAGUGAAGUCGCCAUUUCUGUUAUCAUGGUUUUUGGGUGCCAAGCCAUUAAUUGGACUUGAACCUUUUGACCGUUGAUAUCUCUCUUUUUUCUUGGGAAGGGCAAAAUUGAGAAAAACCCUUAAUUUUCCGAAUUCGGGGGUCGUUUUCGCUACGGGAAGGUGUUAGGCACCCGGAGCGAUUAUGGUAUUCCAUAAGAACCGUUCUCCUAAGCUUACUUCUACGCUUUACUUUUAGAGACUAUUUGUAAAAAAGAAGGUGUGAUUAGUGAAGAAUGGGGGUGAGAAGAAGUAGAAUUUGAUUUUAUUUCGGCUUGGAGGGGUUAAAGUCCCUUGCCUACGUACCGUUUUACGGGAUCAAAACCGGCGUAGUUCUUGCUAAAAAGACUUGUUGUUUUUUUUUGUUUUAAUUGUUUGAUUUUAAAUUUUGAAAAUGAUUUUGAAGAAGGGGAUUGAGAGGCUUCAUGAGCAUUAGAGUAUGAAAAAGUGGGGGUUUGUUUAUUGAUUUUGCAAAAAGUCUAAAUGAUUAGAUUUAUUUGAGAAUUUUAUUAAGAAAAUAAAAGGUGAAAAAUUGUUGGAGUUUUGACUCCAUUUUUAUGAAAAAUAUUUGAAGCUAAUUUGUUUGCAUAUUUUUUGGAAAAAAUUGGAUUUUCUCUAAGUGUUUAAACCUAAGCAUUCAUCUAACCAUGCAAUCCUAGCCAUACAUCUACACAUGCAAUCCUAGGCAUACAUCUAGGGUGAGUGUGUGCGUGCCGGUGUGCCAUAGUGUCCAUAGUCCAUAUUACAAAAAUUGCCUAAAUACAUUCUAUGGCCUCUUUGCCAAGCUACAAACCAAUGAUAACAAAUUACAUCACCGAAUGAAUUAAAAUUUGCAAAAAUAAAUGCUAAGCUAAAGAAAGUGGAGGAGAUAGUGAAAUGCUAUGAGUGAAGUCACAUAAGGAACAAAAUGUUAGUGAAACAAGGAAAAAUAUAAUGGGAAUGAUGAAAAAUGCACCAAAUGAAUAUGCAAUAAAAAGGGGUAAAAACAUGAGAACUUAUCAAGCACAAUGUGUAACAAAUGGCCUAUAAUGCAAGAACAAGUAUAAACCAAAUGAAAACAAUGGCACAAUCAUUGGAUUAUCAUCACAUCUAUCAUGAAAAUGCAUUCUAAUUAGCCAUGCUAUGCACCAAAAUUCUUAGGACAAGAAUCAACCUAAAAAUCAUGAAAAAGCUAACUAGAGAAGUAAAUUGAACAAGAGGCCUAUGCACAUAUUUUUACCAGUUAUUUGCAAGAAAAAUAUCAUUAAAAGUCAUCAAGAGAGUGGUAAAAACAUGUAGUAAUUUUUGGAAUUUUUUUGUAAAAAAGGUGACCAAGAAACAGGUUCAGAUAGCAAAAAGAAUGGUGCAGAUAGCAAGAAAAGGAGCAGAAACGCGCAAGAAGCCUAAGCCCAACCCAAAGUCCAACACACAAAACUCAGAUUGCACAGGAGACGUUGGAUUGAUCCAGGGUAGGAAACCCUAGAUCCAACGGCCAGGAAUGAAGGAGGUUGGACCGGUCCUGAACCGGUCCGGUUCACUGGCUUUAUAAAGGGGGGAAUCCGGUUUUUUUUUAUUUUCUUCCUCUCCUUCUCUCUCUUCUCUCACUUCUCUCUUCCUUCUCUCUCGCCGGAAACUGGAAAACUGAAGAUGAUCUUCAUCUUCUCCGGUGGAGCUUGUUCCUCCGGCGUGGUGGCCGGCCACCCAAAGGUGGCGGCGCCGCCGCCGGAGUUGAGCAAACUCCUCCGAUUUUGAAAAUUUUUACAUUUUUAGAUAUCCUUUUUCAUGCUAUUCACGAAUCCAAACUUGGUUUUUUGAGAAAAAGUCCCAAUCGGAGUAGAUCUAACUUCAAAGAUUCGGAAAUUUUUGAAUUCAAAAAAAGGAGGAAAGAGGAAAAGAAGAGUUAUUACCUGUUUGUGAUGUGUUGUGGAGCAAGGGAGAGAGCUUCGCCUUCUUCCGGAUCCGGAAUAUUCCUUCCUUCUUUCCCUUCUCCUUCACGUGAUUCUUUGACCGAAUUUGCUUGUUGUUUGGUGAUGUUCUUGGUGAUUUGAUUCGGAUUUUGUUGAUUUUUGUGGUUCUUGGUGCGGAUUUGUUGCUGGAUUCGGUUUUGUUGCUUUCGGUUUCGUUGCUUUUUUCUUCUUCUCCUCUCUCUGUGAUCGUGCUUGGAUUCGCCGCUUCCGGUGGCGGAUUCGCACUUGAAUUGUGGAGCAGAGACGAUUCGAUGAUGAAGAUUCGCAAAGAAUCUCUGAGAAUCACACAAAAGGAUGAUGAAUUUGAUGAAUUUGUGAUGAUUUUCAGUUAGGAUUUAUGUGAAUGUUCUUGAUGAUUUUCUAUGAUUUUUCUGUUUUGAUUUGCAACUGAAUGGAGAGAGAAAAAAAAAUCUGUUUGUGAUGUGGCGUGUGAUUAAUGGAUCUCUUGAUUAUGUGGCACUGUGAACAGUAUUUAUAGCUGAUGUGUGAGUGAUUGGACCAUUAGAAAGCUGACAUGUGGCAUUGGACUGAAAAAGGGGCGCUGCCCUGUAAUUUGACUUGAAGGACCUGUUUGCAAAUUUGAAAAAUAUAUGGACUGGACUGAAAAAUGAAAGUAAGGACUGAAAUGAAAUUAAAAACUGUUUGGACAAAAAAUGCAAUUUUGGGACCUCAAUUGAGGGACCAAAAUGCAAUUAAAAAUAAAAUUGAAUAAAAAACGUAAUUUGACCAAACGUAAAGCGAAACAAAAAAUAAAAUUGACAAAACGGACUAAAACGAACCAAUGGCUUAAAUGAGGUACUUCAAAGUAACCUCUCUAUGCCGAAAUUUUGUGUGAAAUGACCAAAAUGCCCCUAGGGCUAAAAAUGACUUAAACAGAUUCAAAUUGACUUGACACUGACUCAGAUGCAAGUUUGAAAUGAAUUUAACAAGGUUUACUGAUGAAAUGUUAAAAAUCAAUCUGAAAAGACUCAGAGACAGUCACAAGGAUGAAAAUGGGUCCCACUGCAGGAAAUGAGCAAAAUACCCUUCUGUACGACUUUUUGCAAAUUUUGAAAUAAACUGUAGAAAAAGCAAUGUAAUGAUUCAGAGACACUUUUGAAUGACUUACAAGACAAGUAAAGACAUUUCGAAAGGUUUUAUGCAAGAAAAACAUAGGUAAAAUUGUGAUUGAAAAUACUGCGAGGCAGAGACAAUUUGAACUGUGCAGUUGAAAUUUGAUAAUUGACAAAGUUUGAAAUGAAAUUGGGCCCAGUAUUUUUAGGUCCAAAAACAGGGUAUAACAUAUAUAUAUAUAUAUAUAUAUAUAUAUAUAUAUAUAUAUAUAUAUAUAUAUAACCUGGACAACAUCAAAGAAAUACACAAGUUAUAUUAAAAAAAUAAUAAACUUUUUUUUAAAGGUAAAAAAUAAAUAUUUUUGAAAAAGCAAAUAAACCCAUUAUCUUUUUUUAGGGAAAUAAACUCAUUUUGUUAAUUAUUUUUUAGGCUAUACUGCACUUUUCGACCCCCUAAGUUUCAAAAUGUUGCGGCUUUUGCCACAUAUUGUAAAAAAUUAUAAUUUUGGCCUCUUUCGUCCAAAAAUUGCUGAGAAGACGCCACAUGUUCUAAAAAAGGGGCUAUAAUCGCAACUUUUUAAGAAGAUAAAGGGUCAUUAGAUCAUAUUUCCCAUAUGUUAGGGGUCAAAAGAGCAUGUUUUCCUUAACAUAGGGGGGGGGGGGGGGGGGGGUCAUGUUUGUCAUUUUUUCAUAAGGGCCAAAGUCACAACUUUUUAAAACUUAAGGGGUGAAAAGUGCACUUUAGCCUAUUUUUUUUACUUAUGUAUCACAUAUUUUCUUUUUACAUUGGCAUACCUAGAUUAGAUCUAGAUGCUUCUUCUGAGCAACUGACACCAACAAAUCCUCUUUUAACAGUCCUACAUCCCUCAUUCAUUCAUUCACUGGUCAGUGUGACUUCCACUCCUAUAUAUAUAUAUAUAUAUAUAUAUAUAUAUAUAUAUAUAUAUAUAUAUAUAUAUAUAUGGAGUUUGCUAGGAUACACCUACUAGUUUUUAUUAAGGUGUGUUUUAGCAAAGAUAUAACUAAAAAUUUGUUCAAUACACCUUAAGGUGAAUGAUGCUAAAACACACAUUCUAAAAAAUAAGUGCGUGUAUGUUAGCAACUCCUAUAGGCAUUUGCUAGGAUACACCCACUUAUUUUUUAGAAGAUGUGUUUUAGCAAGUUAUAACUAAAAAGUAGUUAAAUACACCUUAAGGUGUAGCUUGCUAAAACACUCCUACAUAAAAACUAGUGGGUGUGUUCUAGCAAACCCCUAUAUAUAUAUAUAUAUAUAUGGGUUAUUAUGCUUGUACGCUCUUAAACCCAUUCAUCACUCAGCAGUUACCGCUGCGCCUUUCCCUUUUUGAGCAAAUACUCAACAUAUCUACACAAACUGCUUCCCUAUGCUUGGAAUGAUGAGUCAGACAACAACUAGAGUAUGUAUUAGUGCAUCUGUUGGAGAUCUGAUGAUUCAAAGAAUGUUGAUGGUGACUUCUAUAUGUUUACCAUCCCGUAGAUGGUUUAAUAAAAUCAUCAACAAUAGUUUUAUUAUUUCUUCGAGUGUAAUUUUCUUGAUUAACUAUGGGACAAGGUCUCUGCCUUAACGGAACAUUAAUUUAUUUAUGUGAGUUAAGACGUUCUAUAGUUUGAUUAAAGCGUGAAUCUUCUCCAAUAUUGUUUGAGAUUUCGUAGCUUACGUUUUUCAACAUCUUCGUUUGUUCUUUAAGAUCUAACAUUAUAUUUGCAAUUUUAUGUAAUGUUGUUAUCUUAUUAAAUAAAUGAUUGUGGUUUUCUUGAUUAAUUAAGUUUGUAAUUUUUUAAUACACUUUUGUUUUGCGUAUUUAUUCAAGAUAUAAAUCUAUUCUAAAAGAUUUAUUGGUUUUAUAGAAAUGUGUUCACUUAUUAUGGUCACACCUGUGGUUGUUAAAAGUGCGAUCUAGAUCUUGCGAUCUAUAUCUUGAAAUCAUAAGAUCUCACGGUUUAUUCUCUCCCCACCGUGCCGUAAUGGUACAAUAAUCAUUGUCGAGGAUGGAGCGGUGAGCUGUAGAGGAAGAAUGUUGAAUUGUGGGAGCGACACUUUCUCUCGUGCUUGUUUCACACCUUUUAGCCCCGGUUGUGGACAUCUUGACCCAGUUGAACCGCUUUUGAUCCAGAAUAGCUCGCACGUUACAACUCGGAUUUGAACGUCUUUUAAUCAAAAGUUGAUCUAUUUUUUAAUCUCAUAAAGAGAUACACUGAAGUUACCUUUUUUUUUUAAUUAAUAAAGGGGUCUGUUACUUUUAAUUGAAAAUUUACAUCCACACUUAUGAACUUCCCAAAAAUAAUGAUUCUUUCAAGUGUGAACUUGGGACUCGGUGAUUUUUUUUUAUUUUUUAUUUUUAUGAUAAAGAGGGAAUGAAUAAAAAAUUUAUCUACUAAAAAAUAGGGAACUACCUACCUACUAAGCAACUUAGAUAUUUUCCAUCCCCCGUCUAAUUACCUUUGGGUCUUAUUAUGACAAUGAAAUUUUGAAGUACUGAUCAGUUACAACCUAGUUAUGCAUUCAAGAACAAAAUAUGUAAAACUUAACCUCUAAUUUGUUAGGGAGAAUGUUCUCAACAAGUGUCUCUUAGUAACACACGUGGACAUCCUUGCAAAACCGACAAGAUAAACUUAUGAGUGUUGACUACUUGUCAACCGAUAAGAUUUUAAGGGCUGAAUGAUGAGGUGUGCACAUGGUAGCUAAACUUCUAAGUUAAUGUAAAUAAUGAGUGAGCCAACCUUUUGUUUUGAAGAAAUGAGUGAGCCAACAUAAAUGAAUAAACCAUCGAUUUGGUCUUCGAACUGUAUAAAUAUACCAAGUAGCACCUAAACUAUUAUUAUUAAGACCAUAAAAAUAGUCCUUGAGCAACCAUUCCCUAUUGUUUAAGAGAAUUGAGGGACUAACUUGAUGCAUUUAUAAUAGUUUAUGGACUACUUAGCAUGAUUUAAUAGUUGAGGAGCUGAGAGAGGGUGACGAAUGACGAUCCAGGGAUCAAAUUGAUAGUGUAUUCUUUUUGAUAGGUCUUCAACUCUAGUGUACUAUUAAACUGGUCCAUAUGUGUAACCACUUAUUCUAAAUCAGUCAUUAUAUUUUAACAACUUACUAUCAAUUUAGUUAUUAUAUUUAGUCCCUUCCUAUCAAUUUAGUUUCUAACAUAUUGUCCGAAGGACUGAUAUGAUUAAAGCAUAAAAAUCAGAGACUUUUUUUAAAUAACUUAUAAUACAAUGACAUAUUCAAGAACACCCUACAAAAUCAGAGACACGUUUGGGGGUUUACUUUGUCAUAUGAAAUUGUGCUUAAAUAUCUACCGCAUGAAGAGUUGAUAACUUAGUUUUAGGAACUUGAAUAUGUAUAUAUGAAUUAUCAAACUAGAUGUAUAUGUUAUUUUAUGUAGUAUUUUAACCUUUUUGUGUAGUAUAAGUCAAAUGAAAAUUGUCCUUUGUGUAGUUCAAAUUAUUUUUGUGUUUUAUUAUUUUCAUCAAGUCAUCGCCUGAAAAAAGCAUAAAUGUAUGUAUUAAAAUUACCAUUAGAAUUUAGGAUGAUUAUUUGCAAAAAAAAAAAAAAAAAAUCUAUAAAUCAUCAUCACCUUAAAACCCAAGCCUGAAUACUUGUAAGAAUCAUAAGCAAAUUCACUAUUGAUAAAAUUUGAGAGCUCAUUCAAAACACUGAAAAACAUAUUUUAUUUGUUGAUUUUUUAAUCAAUAAAAAAAAAAAGGUUAGAUGUGUGGGUUGGCCAAAACUAGAGGUGCACUUUUUUUCUUCAAAAGAUUGUGAUUUACAUCUCUAGAUUGCCAGUUUGAAAGUGUAAAAAGUUAAAGAAAUUUGUAAACACUUUACACCGUUGGGUUGGCCUAAUCUAAAAAUGUUAAAAAUCUUUUUUUUUUUUUUUUUUGAGGGAAAAAAUGUUAAAAAUCUUGAAAGUGGAAUUUUACAUUUUCGGAUUGGUCAAAUAUAUGUAUAAAAAUUUAACAAUUUAUGCCAUCUAAUACAAGAUAUUUUCAAUCGCGGAGGUUAACUGAAUCCGGACAAUUUACAUUUCACUUAAAAAAUCCAAAAAGAGAAAAUUUUAAUAAGAUAAGGUUGACCAUCUAGAUGCUUCUUAAUCUUAAUGGCAUACUCGAUCAGUGUAAUGACGUGCCACUAACUUACACCAAUAAACCCUCUUUUUCACAAACUAUCUCAAUCACUCCCACUCCUAUAUAUACACUCUCUUUCUUACAAAUAUUCUUACACCAACAAUCCCUCCCUUUCAUUUGCUCCAUUAUCCUUUUGACCAAAUAUUUUUCACAUACCUUCACAAUCUAACCCAGUUCUCUCCUUUAAAUUCAACGUGGUCAAUAUUUUCUCUUCAAUUUCACUUCAUCAGAUUUGAUCUAAUCGGCACAACCCAAUUCCCUAGUGUUUAUAUAUGAUUUUUUUUUAACCCUUGAUGAUUCUCUUUUUGAUCUAUAUUGUUAGAUUGAUGAACUGGGCAACAAUUAGAUGCCGUAUCAGUGCAUAUGAUGUAGAUCUGAUGCUACAAAUAUCUUUGAUUGUGACUUCUAUAUCCAUCAAAGAUAGUUUUAUUAUUUUGACAAGUGUAAUUUUUUUGAUUAAAUUAUGUCACAAGACAUCAUUUUUAAAACAAAUUAAUUUAUGCAUAUAAGAGUGAUCCCGAGUAUAAAGUUAUAAGAUCUGCAAAUCUAUAUAGCUUAAGCUUAUGGUGUUUUUGGUGAUCCAGAACUUCCUACUUGAAUUUCAUAAUCAGAGUAUGGUUUGUUUCAAAAGUACAACACAAAAAGAGUUACAAAGUAUACUCCCAUGACUUUUAAAUAGGACGACCUAUCCCAAUAAUUUGGAUAAAGAAUUCAGAUAUGCUGCACCCAUCAAUAGAGACGCCUGAUUUAUUUAUUUAUUUAUUUUUUUGUGGUGGUCAGGGUUUGAGCUAAGUUCACGAGGACAAGACACCUGAUUUGAAGCAGAUAAUGUCGUAGUAUUGUUUAGUGAUUUAGCAACUGUGAUUUUCUUGAUUAAUUAUGAUGUAAUUUUUAACACUUCAAUUAAAUGUAUUUAUUUAUAUGAAUAAAUUGUGAAAGAUUCAGUAAUUUAAUACAAAUGUAUUAAUAGUGAUUAUAAUGUUUAUUCCGUAAACCUGUAAAAAAAAUGUGUCUAAAAAUAUUAUGUAUUAGAGUAAAAAAGAAAUUAUAGACUAUAAUAUAUAAGUUAUGUAUUUUUUCACUUAUCUUAUUUUUUUUAGGAUUAUUCACAUACUUUAUUUUAUAAUUCCCCUCGAAAAUAAAUCUUUGUUUUAUGUUUUAAUUUGGUCUCUUGUUUAUUAAAAUUGUUUUAAAUUAUGGUAUGAAAGGGAUCAUUUUAUUCAAAUAAGGACAAUUUUAAACAAAAAAACUUAUAAUUUCGUUGUAGAAAUUUUUUCUUUUAUUACCCAAGUUUUUAGAGGUGACUAGAGGUGUUCAUUCAAACCCUAUUUUUUAUUUAUUUAUUAUUAUUAUUUUUUUAUAAAUUCAAACCUUAUUCAAAUUAAAACCGUAAACCAAUCAAUAUAAACAAAAAUUUGGUUUAUUGUGUUUGAGUGUAAUUUGGUUUAUUAAAAGUGCCAUAUCUCAAAUUAUUGUUGUUGUUUCUUUGUCUGCAAGUAACUCAAAACUGGCAGCUAGUUCUUCAAUCAAAUAAUUUUAUAUUCUAAAGGCUUUUAAUGUUUCAAUACAUCCUCCAAAGUUGCUUCUUGUUAAGGAGGUUAUCUAGAGUCCCCUAAUUUCUAACUAGAUUAAAGGUAAUUGUGAUGGAGCUUUGGCUGCAGGGAAGGCUGCUUGUGGAGCAAUCUUUAGGAACUCUAAAGGUCAAUUUAUGGAUGCUUUGCAGAAGGUUUACACAAUGGUAACUCUCUUUUUGUUGAACUCAUUGGGACCAUGAGAUCCAUUGAGUUUACUAGCUAUUUCAAAAAACUGGAGAAAUUUCUGGCUAGAAAAUGAUUCCAUGCUAGUGGUUCAAGCUUUCAAGUCUUAGGACAUUGUUCCUUGGCAACUUAGAAACAGAGGAGCAACUGUAUUAGCAUUACUUCAUCCAUGAUUUUCAUAGUUUCUCACAUCUUUAGGGAGGGCAAUGGUUGUACAGAUGCUCUUGCUAACAUAGGUUUAACUCUAGAUAAUUAUGUAUAUUAUUACUCUUUAACUUUACAAGUAAGGAGUGAUUAUGUUAAAAAUAGACUAGGUUGGCCUACUUUUCGGUUUAAUCACUCUAGGUUGGCCUACUUUUUGUGAUUGUGUAGGCUGUGUAGUCUGAGAACUCACUGCACCAUCCCCCAUCCGACCUUUACCUCUUCCCCUCUUUGGGAUAUGUGCGUUUUGCCUUGCCCGCCUAGCGCUAUUAGUCAUAGCAAGUCUAUUAGAUAUCAUCCUAGAUGGGUCAAUCUGCUGCCCUUGCUCCGGAUCAGACAUAUCUGCACAAAAUUUUAAAAAAUUAACAUCGUUGAACAAAGAAAAUUAACAUAAAAUCUAAACAUCAUUCACAUCACAAUCUAAAAAACAUUCACAAUAUAAGAUAAAUACCAUUCAAAACCACAUUCAACUUCAACAUAAUGUUAACAUCAUUCUGAGAAACUACAAUUAUCUAUAACUACAUAAACUAACUAAAUAAUAAAUGCAAUUCUCAUUUUGGCAUUUUGUCAAACACUUUGUGUGCAAAGUAUCAAACAUAUUCACAUUGUGUUAUUUUGACACCAUUCAAAACCACAUUUUACUUAAACAUCAAUUACAUUAACUACAUUCGUUUAUCAAUUUAUAAACUACACAUGCAAUCAUCAAAAUGUCAAUUCAUUCAUAAACCCUAACCACAUGCAAACUACCAAAAUUUACAACAACAAAAAACCUAAACAAACUAACAUUAUGAUUAAAACUACUUACUUGUGUUUUUGUGGAGAUGAUUCACUUGAAUUUCAUCAAAAUGGAAUUGGAGGAAUUUGAAAAAAAUUGGAGAAGUUUUGAGAAAACUUGAAACUGAUAUGUUUCUGGUGCUCCUGUUUCUGUAUAAAGAAUGCAUCAGCAGUUAACUGCCGAUGAAACCGGUGGCAACUAAGUGACGAGAAAAAUUUCGAUAGUUAAUUGCCGAUGGUAUAAACCGGCAGCAGUUAACUACCGAGGGAGAUAUUGAUGCAUUUUAUUAAUAAGGGUUGAGGCCCAAUCCUGUUAGUUUAAUGCUUUUCAUUGCUUGAUAAAAAAAAAAUUAGCUUAAAUACAGUCAAGGUUGACCAUCUAGAUGCUUCUUAAUCUUAAUGGCAUACUCGGCCAGUGUAAUGACAAUGACGUACCACUAACUUACACCAAUAAAUCCUCUUUUUCACAAACCUAUCUCAAUCACUCCCACUCCUACAUAUACACUCUCUUACUCACAAAUAUUCUUACACCAACAAUCCAUCCCCUUCAAUGUGACCAAUAUUUUUCUUCAAUUUCACUUCAUCAGAUUUGAUCUAAUCGGCACAACCCAAUUCCCUAGUUUUUAUAUAUGAUUUUUUUCUGUAAUUUUGAACCCUUGAUGAUUCCCUUUGCGAUCUAUAUGGUUAGAUUGAAAACUGGGCAACAAUUAUAUGCCGCAUCAGUGCAUAUGUUGUAGAUCUGAUGCUACAAAUAUCUUUGAUUGUGACUUCUAUAUCUUUGUAAUCUUUAAUUAUUUGCUACAAAUCUGUAUAACUUAUGGUGUAGAUGAUCCAGAGCUUCCUACCUUAAUUUCAUAAUGUUAGUGUUGUCUCCCUUUGUGUUGUUUCAAAAUAACACAAACGAGUUACAAAGUAUUCUCCCAUGAAUUGGAUAAAGAAUUCAAAUAUGUGGCAGUGGCACCCAUCAAUAGAGACACCUGAUUUGGAGCAGACAAUAUCGUAGUAUUGUUUAGUUAUUUAACAAUUGUGAUUUUCUUGAUUAAUUAUCAUGUAAUUUUUACAUACUUCAAUUUAAUGUAUUUAUUUAUAUGGAUAAAUUGUGAAAGAUUCAGUAAUUUAAUACAAAUGUAUCAGUAGUGAUUAUAAUGUUUAUUAAUUAAAAAAAUUGUGUGUAAAAAAAUGUGUUAGAGUUAAAAAGAAAUUAUAGGCUAGAUUAUAUAAGUUUUGUAUUUAUUCAUUUAUCUUUAUUUUAUAAUUCCCCUCAAAAACAAAUCUUUACUUUAUGUUUUAAUUUGGUCCCUUGUUUUAUAAAAUUGUCUUUGCCAUUUAAAUCAUGUUAUGGAGAGGAUCAUUUUAUUGAAAUAAGGGACAUUUUUAAAAAUAAAAAAAAACUUAUAAUUUGAUUGUAGACAUUUUUCACUUUUACUACCCAAGUUUUCAUAGGUGGCACCUUACCCAAAUUUUUUCUUUUGGUAUAAAUUCAAACCUUAUCUAAAUUAAAACCGUAAACCAAUCAAUAUAAACAAAAAUUUGGUUUAUAUUUCUUAAAAAAAAUAAAAAAAAUUGGUUUAUUGUAUUUAAGUGUAAUUUGUAACAACGGUUUAAAUUAGAUCUUGGAUUUCUUUUUUAAAAUUGAACGAAACUGAACAUCAUACAUAAAUAUCAAUAAUUUUUUCUUUGGUCAACUACUUUUUUAUUAAUAUAAUAUAUUUUAUUAAUAUAUUAGUUGUUGGUUUUAAAUUUAAUUUUUGUACAAUUUCACACAUUUCAAGCUUAAUUGAUCAAACUCUAGCGGUGACUAAUAUCUAUUUAGGCUCGCUAUAUGCAAAAACCGAUGAUAAAACUUUUGGUGUGAGCCAAAGCCAAUCACUUGUUUACUUUGGUGCAUGCCGCUUUUUAUUCGGUGGUUCCCAAGGCUGGGGUCUGUUUUUGCGAGUCUUCACCCCCUCUAUUUGGCUUGGAAGGUUCGAUACAUUACAAAGGUUGAUACAUGCUACCUCAUAACUUUGAACUUUCCUCGUUGAUCCCUUGUGCGAACCGGUAACAAGCUCCACCAAAAGCACCACCUCAAAUUCGAUAAUUGACAACACAACGGCAACACCAUCCAUUAAAGGAGAUUAUGUGUGCAACGAGUUUGAUCAAGAAGAAUACGAGAAAAAAAUUCACGGUGGACUUGUUCUGAACAAACCCUACACCGCAAGGGAUUUGACUCUCAACGUAAGAUGUGGAAGACAACUAAUAAGUGGAAAAUGGUCUCACUUGGUACCAUGUGGGCAGCGGGAAAUGUCAAUCUUAAACUUAUGGAGUUGUCUAAAAAAUAUUGGUGAGACCUUACUCUUUUGGUUGUUAUUCAAUAACCUUCUCUUUACAACCAUUUGAGUCUUUUACCACAACCUUUAGUAUUUUAAAAUUGUGGUGGAAGAAUUUAUAUUUCUACAUAAAUAUUGGAUCUGAUAAAGGCUUGUAAAUCAUAUGUCUUAGUUUUCAUAGAACCCCUUCAAAGUCCUUCAAUUUCGUAUCCAUGUUAAUAACUCCAUUUAACCCAAGAAAAAACUAUUUUUUCUAAUCUUGAUUAUUUAAGUUUGUAAUUUUUUAAUCCACUUUUGUUUUGCUUAUUUAUUUAAGAUAUAAAUCUAUUCUGAAAUAUUUCUUAGUUUUAUACAAAGGUAUUCACUUAUUAUGAUCACAUCCAUAAUUGUUAAAAGCGCAAUCUAGAUUUUGCGAUCUAUAUCUUGAAAUCGUAAGAUCUCACGGUUUUUUCUCUCGCCACCAUGUCGUAGCGGUAGGAAAAUCGUUGUAGAAGAUGGAGCGAUGAGCGCGAAGAGGAAGAGCGUUGAAUUGUGGCAGCGACACUUUCUCUCGUGCUUGGUUCACACCUUUUAGCCCCGGUUGUGUACAUCUUGACCCGAUUGAACCACUUUUGACCCAUAAUAACUCGCACAUUACAACUCGAUUUCAAAUGUUUUUGAAUUAAAAUUUGAUUUUUUUUUUAUUUUAAUCUCAUAAAUUGAUAAACUGAAGUUACCUUUUUUUUUUUAAUUAAUAAAGGGGUUUGUGAUUUUUAAUUGAGAAAUUACAUCCACACUUAUGAACUUUCCAAAAAUAACGAUUCUUUCAAGUGUGAACAUGGGACUAGGUGAAUUUAUUUUUUAGGCUUAAAUGCUCUUUUGGUCCCUUUUAAUUGGUAUCGCUUUGAUCCUUUAACUAAAAAAAAGAUUGUUUGAGGAUUUUAAGUUGUUUUUUAGUCUCGUUUUGGUCCCUUCUGUUAGGUUUCCGUUAAUUUUAAUAAAAAACGUUAAGUGUGGACACGUGUCACCUUGUCAUUGGCUCUGAUUUUUUUUUUUAUAUAAAAAAAUUAAUUUUUUUAAAAAUAUAUAUAUUUUAUUUUUUUGUAAAAAAUUUCCAGAACCAAUGACAAGGUGACACGUGUUAACUCUGGGACACGUGUCACUUUAUCAUUGGCUUUGAGAUUUUUAAAAAAAUAUAUAUUUUAAAAAAAAAUAUUAUUUUUUUGUAAAAAAAAAAAAAAAAUCAAAGCCAAUGACAAGGUGACACGUGUCCAGAAGUUAACUUUUUUUUUUAAAACCCUAACGGAAACCUAAUAGAAGGGACUAAAACGAGACUAAAAAAAAACUUAAAAUCUUUCAACAAUCUUUUUUUUAGUUAAGGGACCAAAGCGAUACCAAUUAAAUAGUUAAGGGACUAAAAAAGCAUUUAAACCUUUUUUUUUUAUGAUAAAGUGGGAAUCAAUAAAAAAUUUAUAAAAUUUAUCUACUACAAAAAAAAAUUAUACCUUGUUUAGGUCGAAGUCAAGCUGCCAUCAUUAUGAUUAAAUCAAUGAAAAGAAUUAUUUAUUUUUUCGGAUAAUUUAUGUUAAUGUUUUUUUAUUUCAAGUGUGAACAUUUUAUCAUAAUACUCAAAUUGUCCUUGGUGUCAUAUUUACUUUACAGACCAUAUAUAUAUAUAUAUAUAUAUAUAUAUAUAUAUAUAUAUAUAUAUAUAUAUAUAUAUAUGUGGGUGUGUAUGUAUUUAUAUAUCCUGGACAACAUCGUAAAACACAGUAGUUAUAUUAAAAAAAUAAUAAACUUUUUUUGAAAGAGUAAAAAUAUACAUUUUUGAAAAAACAAAAAAAAAAACAUUUUUUUUAGAGGAAACAAUCCAAUUAUGUUGAUUAUUUUUUACUUAUGUAUCACAUAUUUUCUUUUUACAAAGGAAUACCUUGAUUAGAUCUAGAUGCUUCUUUUUGAGCAGCUGUCACCAACAAAACCUCUUUUAACAGUCCUACCUCCCUCAUUCAUUCAUUGCUCAGUGAAUUUCACUCCUAUAUAUAUAUAUAUUAGGGUUAUGCCUAUAUGAUCUUAAACCCUUUCAGCACACAGCAGUUGCCGCUCUGCCUUUCCCUUUUUGAACAAAUACUCAUGUACUUUCCACAACCCAACUCUUUCAAUCUCUCAACUUCCAUGUAACCAAAACCAGCUUUGCAAUUUCACUUAAUCUCAUUCAAUCAGAUCUAUUCUAACUGCUUCCCUAUGCUUGAAACGAUGAGUCAAACAACAACUAGAUUCUCUAUUAAUGCAUCUGUUGGAGAUCUGAUGAUUCAAAGAAUGUUGAUGGUGACUUCUAUAUCUUUACCAUCUCUUAGAUAGUUUAAUGGUAUCAUUAACAAUAAAUUUUAAUUUCCUUGAUUAAUUAUGGGAGAAGGUCUAUAGCUUAACGGUGACAAUAAUUUAUUUAUGCGAGUUAAGACGUUCUAUAUAGUUUGAUUAGAGCGCGAAUCUUCUCCAAUAUUGUUUGAGAUUCCAUAACUUACAUUCUUCAACAUCUUCGUUUGUUCUUUAAGAUCAAACAUUGUAUCUGCAAAUUUAUGUAAUGUUGUUAUCUUAUUAAAUAAAAUGAUUGUGGUUUUCUUGAUUAAUUAAGUUUGUAAUUUUUUAAUACACUUUUGUUUUGCAUAAUUUUAAAUAAUGACUCAAGUUUAUGUACUGGUCGGUGCGGAUCUUCAGAAACUCUUAAUCAUUUUUAUUUUUUUACACUGUUCUACUUUUGGGGCUGUUUGGAAUCAUAUUUUUGAUUGGUUUGGAUGGUCUACGGCUAUUCCUUAUGAAGUCGUGGAUCAUUUUACUCAGUUUACAUUUAGUGGUGGUGACUCUAAGAUGCGGCAAUCUAUCUUGCAUUUGAUUUGGUUUGCUACUGUGUGGGAAACCUGGAAAGAAAGAAAUAACAGGAUCUAAUGCAAAAGAGUGUUUGAUAACAGUGCUAGUGGACAAAAUUAAGUUGCUUUCCUAUAGGUGGUUGAAGGCGAAAACUGAUUGUCCUUACAAUUACCAUAGUUGGUGGUUGCGUCCGCUUUCAUUGUUAGGCAUAUAUUAGUUGUUUCUUUUCUUUGUGUCUGUCGUUUAGUUUCUCUGUUUCAGUUUCUGUAAAUAUUGUUUAGACAUUGUUUUGUUCUCUCUUGGCACACCUUGUGCUAGGAAGGACAUUUUGAGUUGGUAAUAUAUUUCAUUUUAGCCUCUUCAAAAAAAAAAAAAAGAUAUAAAUCUAUUCUAAAAUAUUUAUUAGUUUUAUACAAAAGUAUUCACUUAUUAUGUCACACCCAUAAUUGUUAAAAGCGCG
rnacentral:lncRNA from 1 species